ACGCUGGGGAAGCUACACUGCCGCUCAACGCGCCUCGGGUGAGCGCGGAGGCGUAAGUAACGCGUGGGAACGUAGCCUUCUCUACGGAAUAGCCUUUGGAAACGAAGAGUAAUACCGUAUACGCCCUUUGGGGGAAAGAUUAUCGGAAGAAGGAUCGGACCGCGUUAGAUUAGAUAGUUGGUGGGGUAACGGACUACCAAGUCUACGAUCUAUAGCUGGUUUUAGAGGAUGAUCAGCAACACUGGGACUGAGACACGGCCCAGACUCCUACGGGAGUGAGCAGUGGGGAACUCUUAGACAAUAGAGGCGCAAGCCUGAUCUAGCCAUGCCGCGUGAGUGAUGAAGGCCUUAGGGUCGUAAAGCUCUUUCGCCUGUGAUGAUAAUGACAGUAGCAGGUACAGAAACCACGGCUAACUCCGAGCCAGCAGCCGCGGUACUCCGGAGGGGGUAAGAGUUGUUCGGAAUUACUGGGCGUACAAGCGCACGUAGGCGGAUUGGAAAAGUAGGGGGUGAAAUCCCGGGGCUCAAACCCAGGAAAUGACUCCAAAACUAUCAGUAUAAAGUUCGCGAGAGGUGGAUGGAAUUCCCAGUGAUACAGGUGAAAUUCCGACAACUUAGGAGGAACAC
rnacentral:rRNA from 1 species